rnacentral:rRNA from 1 species
UGGGGAAUUUUGGACAAUGGGCGAAAGCCUGAUCCAGCCAUGCCGCGUGAGUGAAGAAGGCCUUCGGGUUGUAAAGCUCUUUUAGUCGGAAAGAAAGAGUCGCAAUGAAUAAUUGUGAUUUAUGACGGUACCGACAGAAAAAGCACCGGCUAACUACGUGCCAGCAGCCGCGGUAAUACGUAGGGUGCGAGCGUUAAUCGGAAUUACUGGGCGUAAAGGGUGCGCAGGCGGUUUUGCAAGUCAGACGUGAAAGCCCCGGGCUUAACCUGGGAAUUGCGUUUGAAACUACAAGGCUAGAGUGCAGCAGAGGGGAGUGGAAUUCCAUGUGUAGCAGUGAAAUGCGUAGAGAUGUGGAAGAACACCGAUGGCGAAGGCAGCUCCCUGGGUUGACACUGACGCUCAUGCACGAAAGCGUGGGGAGCAAACA